rnacentral:rRNA from 1 species
AACGUACGCUGGCGGCACGCCUAACACGUGCAAGUCGAACGCAGUAGCAAUACUGAGUGGAAGACGGGUGAGUAACAUGUGGGAAACUGCCUUGUGGCUAAGGACAACAUUGGGAAACCGAUGCUAAUACUGGAUAAGACCUUACGGGGAAAGUUUUAAUGCCAUAAGAUGAGCCCUCAUUUGAUUAGUUAGUUGGUGAGUUAAUGGCUCACCAAGACAAUGAUCAAUAGCUGAUCUGAGAGGAUGAUCAGCCACACUGGGACUGAGACACGGCCCAGACUCCUACGGGAGGCAGCAGUGGGGAAUCUUGCACAAUGGAGGAAACUCUGAUGCAGCGAUGCCGCGUGAGUGAAGAAGGCCUUUGGGUUGUAAAGCUCUUUUGUAGUGGAAGAUAAUGACUGUACCCUAAGAAUAAGGUCCUGCUAACUUCGUGCCAGCAGCCGCCGUAA